ACAUGUACGGAAUUUGCCAGAGAUGGCUUAGUGCUCGAAAGAGAGCCGUAACACAGGUGCUGCAUGGCUGUCGUCAGCUCGUGUCGUGAGAUGUUGGGUUAAGUCCCGCAACGAGCGCAACCCUUGUCAUUAGUUGCUACGAAAGGGCACUCUAAUGAGACUGCCGGUGACAAACCGGAGGAAGGUGGGGAUGACGUCAAGUCCUCAUGGCCCUUAUAGGUGGGGCUACACACGUCAUACAAUGGCCGGUACAAAGGGUCGCAAACCCGCGAGGGGGAGCUAAUCCAUCAAAGCCGGUCGUAGUCCGGAUCGCAGUCUGCAACUCGACUGCGUGAAGUCGGAAUCGCUAGUAAUCGUGGAUCAGCAUGUCACGGUGAAUACGUUCCCGGGUCUUGUACACACCGCCCGUCACACCAUGGGAGCGGGUCUCGCCAGAAGUAGUUAGCCUAACCGCAAGGAGGGCGAUUACCACGGCGGGGUUCGUGACUGGGGUGAAGUCGUAACAAGGUAACCGUA
rnacentral:rRNA from 1 species